CACAAGAACGCGUGGAGCAUGUGGCUUAAUUUGACUCAACGCGGGAAAUCUUACCGGGUCCGGACACACUGAGGAUUGACAGACAAACACAUUUAUGUGUUAUAAAGAUGCUAGUUCUUUCAUGAUUAUGUGAUAGGUGGUGCAUGGCCGUUCUUAGUUCGUGGAGUGAUCUGUCUGCUUAAUUGCGUUUCAAUAUUUUAUUACGUAUACGUAUGACCAACUUACCUUUACCGGUAUGUUUGUGUCUAGUAUGCUAUCAUUUGAAAGCAACGAACGUGACCGUAUCCUUUUAUUAUGUACGCACGCGUAUAUUUAUUUCAUUAAAGGGACCGCUGUUUCUUUCUUUAAACCAGAGGAAGGUUACGGCAAUAACAGGUCUGUGAUGCCCUUCGAUGUUCCGGGCUGCACACGUGCUACAAUGAUUAUUUCAUUAAGUAUCUAAUCUUUUAUGUAUCGUACCUCUGUGUAUGUUCAAAAUACCUACCCUGAGAAUGGGCGGGUAAUCAAUUAGAAGUAAUGAUUUCCUUUUUUAAUACGCAACUAUGUACCGUAUAUUACAUCCCACAUAUUUUAUAUAUGUGCGUGUGUGUUUUAUUACCGUGUACGCGUAACUGUUAAUUCAUGGUGGGGAUAGACCAUUGUUAAUUGUUGGUCUCGGUCUUAACUAGGAAUGCCUUGUACGGGUCAUUGGUUCAACAAACCACCCGGAAUACGUCCCUGCCCUUUGUACACACCGCCCGUCGCUCUUACCGAUGAACUUCGCUAUGAAUCUAUUGGACUGUGCUCUCUUAUGAGUGCGGAAAGAUAUAUGAAUAGGGUGGUUUAAAGGAAAGAGAAGUCGUAACAAGGCAUCAGUAGGUGAACCUGCUGAUGGAUCAUUA
rnacentral:rRNA from 1 species